rnacentral:rRNA from 1 species
GACGAACGCUGGCGGCGUGCCUAAUACAUGCAAGUAGAACGCUGAAGGAGGAGCUUGCUUCUCUGGAUGAGUUGCGAACGGGUGAGUAACGCGUAGGUAACCUGCCUGGUAGCGGGGGAUAACUAUUGGAAACGAUAGCUAAUACCGCAUAAGAGUAGAUGUUGCAUGACAUUUGCUUAAAAGGUGCAAUUGCAUCACUACCAGAUGGACCUGCGUUGUAUUAGCUAGUUGGUGAGGUAACGGCUCACCAAGGCGACGAUACAUAGCCGACCUGAGAGGGUGAUCGGCCACACUGGGACUGAGACACGGCCCAGACUCCUACGGGAGGCAGCAGUAGGGAAUCUUCGGCAAUGGACGGAAGUCUGACCGAGCAACGCCGCGUGAGUGAAGAAGGUUUUCGGAUCGUAAAGCUCUGUUGUAAGAGAAGAACGAGUGUGAGAGUGGAAAGUUCACACUGGGACGGUAUCUUACCAGAAAGGGACGGCUAACUACGU